rnacentral:lncRNA from 1 species
CCAAGGUGGGAGCUGGAGGAGGGGUGUGCAGCGGAAAAGGGCAGCGUCUGGAGUUGUAUGGCUAUCUUGGUGGUAGGACAGUGAAAUUUAAUUGUGGGGUAUCUUUCUUGAUGUGCUUGAGGUGGGGCAUACAAAGCUUGGUGGUGCAUUGGUCCAGUGUAGUCUUAAUCAACACCUGCUCAGAUAAAAAUCCAAGCCUUGCACUCUCAGUUUGAGGGCACCCAAUCCUGGAGACUUGGGGAUUCCUCCGCACUCAAUCUCACCUCACACUGCCUCUGUAGGUGAGCCCCUUGCUAGAGUAUUUCCUCUUCCCCUUCAUAUGUGAUGGUUUAUUCUGCUGUUUUGGGUAUUUCCCCUAGAGUCCCUGCCUGAGACUGUUAUGAUGGGUAUAUGGAAGAUCUACACUUGCCUUUGAACUUAUAUGCAUCUGAGAUCCUCUCUGCUACAGUUGAUAAUUAGUUAAUUGUAUGUUUGUUUUCAAAGGUGAAGAACUGAACAGCUUGAUAACCUAAAGGGAGGGCUCUGAAGCAGCACACAGUGAUGAUUUGCUCACUGAAGGUGUCAUGUGGCUUAAAAGAAAAGGGUUACAGAGCUCCAGUGUGACUCUGCCUCCCUGCUGUGACCUGCCUGAAUGACCCUGCCAUACCUUCCAUAUGGAAUCCUGUCAGCUGGCAGUGCUAGUACUGAGAUUUACUGGCGAGUCUGAUGAGAGGAGAACCAGGCAACUGAGUGCUCGGGGUUCUGCUGACUGUGCUCAUCUGAGCCAGGGCAGUUCCAUGCCAGUGAUUAAUGCUGAAGACAGCUAGCUGAGCCCAAGAGAGUUGAUCCACAGUUUGGUAUGUGAGACAUAUGCCAACCCUCCAGCUGGGACACUAGCAAGUUGGAUUUAGCCUACCACUUACCCCCUCAGCGUGACCGGCCCAGGACGUGUGGGCUGCCGCUCUCAUUCCAACAGGCUGGAGGUUGAAUCUCUUUCCACUUUGACAAGGGAGACGCUCCUUUGCUGUGCCAUUUCCUUCCUGUUCCUCUCCCACAAAGAGCUGCAAACCUGAAAAGAGUGGAUCCUUCUAUGUCUCUGAUGACCAGGACAGCAUCCCGCAGCCACUUUCGGUCUGGAGCUGUGGUGACUCCAGAAAGGGCCAUGGCUACUAUAGGCAUCCCUGGGACACAAAACUAGCAGAGGCUUAACCUCUUCACUUGCACGGCAUGCCCUCUUGUGCCACGGGUACUACCUCUGUUACUACCCACCAAGUGCCUUGUCUCCUUAACUGGCUUCUGGGACAGGAGUAAUGUCACUAGGGUUCUUGUGGGAGAAACAUGGCCCAGCUGGCUGCGCUAGCAGGAGUCCCGACUAAGGAUGUAGCUACAGAACACUAGCACAAAAAAGCAGAUCGGGAGGGGCUUUGAUCCAUGCCC